UACGGGGGGAGCAAGCGUUGUUCGGAUUUACUGGGCGUAAAGGGCGCGUAGGCGGUAGCACAAGUCAGUUGUGAAAUCUCCGGGCUUAACUCGGAAAGGUCAACUGAUACUGUGCGACUAGAGUGCAGAAGGGGCAACUGGAAUUCUCGGUGUAGCGGUGAAAUGCGUAGAUAUGCGGAGGAACACCGAUGGCGAAGGCAAUCCCCUGGGCCUGCACUGACGCUCAUGCACGAAAGCGUGGGGAGCAAACAGG
rnacentral:rRNA from 1 species